rnacentral:rRNA from 1 species
GCAGUGGGGAAUUUUCCGCAAUGGGCGAAAGCCUGACGGAGCAACGCCGCGUGAGGGAUGAAGGCCUCUGGGCUGUAAACCUCUUUUCUCAAGGAAGAAGAUCUGACGGUACUUGAGGAAUAAGCCACGGCUAAUUCCGUGCCAGCAGCCGCGGUAAUACGGGAGUGGCAAGCGUUAUCCGGAAUUAUUGGGCGUAAAGCGUCCGCAGGCGGCCCUUCAAGUCUGCUGUUAAAACGUGGAGCUUAACUCCAUCAUGGCAGUGGAAACUGUUGGGCUUGAGUGUGGUAGGGGCAGAGGGAAUUCCCGGUGUAGCGGUGAAAUGCGUAGAUAUCGGGAAGAACACCAGUGGCGAAGGCGCUCUGCUGGGCCAUAACUGACGCUCAUGGACGAAAGCCAGGGGAGCGAAAGGGAUUAGAUACCCCUGUAGUCCUGGCCGUAAACGA